AGAGUUUGAUCCUGGCUCAGGACGAACGCUGGCGGCGUGCCUAAUACAUGCAAGUAGAACGCUGAAGAGAGGAGCUUGCUCUUCUUGGAUGAGUUGCGAACGGGUGAGUAACGCGUAGGUAACCUGCCUUGUAGCGGGGGAUAACUAUUGGAAACGAUAGCUAAUACCGCAUAACAAUGGAUGACACAUGUCAUUUAUUUGAAAGGGGCAAUUGCUCCACUACAAGAUGGACCUGCGUUGUAUUAGCUAGUAGGUGAGGUAAUGGCUCACCUAGGCGACGAUACAUAGCCGACCUGAGAGGGUGAUCGGCCACACUGGGACUGAGACACGGCCCAGACUCCUACGGGAGGCAGCAGUAGGGAAUCUUCGGCAAUGGGGGCAACCCUGACCGAGCAACGCCGCGUGAGUGAAGAAGGUUUUCGGAUCGUAAAGCUCUGUUGUAAGUCAAGAACGGGUGUGAGAGUGGAAAGUUCACACUGUGACGGUAGCUUACCAGAAAGGGACGGCUAACUACGUGCCAGCAGCCGCGGUAAUACGUAGGUCCCGAGCGUUGUCCGGAUUUAUUGGGCGUAAAGCGAGCGCAGGCGGUUUGAUAAGUCUGAAGUUAAAGGCUGUGGCUCAACCAUAGUUCGCUUUGGAAACUGUCAAACUUGAGUGCAGAAGGGGAGAGUGAAUUCCAUGUGUAGCGGUGAAAUGCGUAGAUAUAUGGAGGAACACCGGUGGCGAAAGCGGCUCUCUGGUCUGUAACUGACGCUGAGGCUCGAAAGCGUGGGGAGCGAACAGGAUUAGAUACCCUGGUAGUCCACGCCGUAAACGAUGAGUGCUAGGUGUUGGAUCCUUUCCGGGAUUCAGUGCCGCAGCUAACGCAUUAAGCACUCCGCCUGGGGAGUACGACCGCAAGGUUGAAACUCAAAGGAAUUGACGGGGGCCCGCACAAGCGGUGGAGCAUGUGGUUUAAUUCGAAGCAACGCGAAGAACCUUACCAGGUCUUGACAUCCCGAUGCUAUUUCUAGAGAUAGAAAGUUACUUCGGUACAUCGGUGACAGGUGGUGCAUGGUUGUCGUCAGCUCGUGUCGUGAGAUGUUGGGUUAAGUCCCGUAACGAGCGCAACCCCUAUUGUUAGUUGCCAUCAUUCAGUUGGGCACUCUAGCGAGACUGCCGGUAAUAAACCGGAGGAAGGUGGGGAUGACGUCAAAUCAUCAUGCCCCUUAUGACCUGGGCUACACACGUGCUACAAUGGUUGGUACAACGAGUUGCGAGUCGGUGACGGCGAGCUAAUCUCUUAAAGCCAAUCUCAGUUCGGAUUGUAGGCUGCAACUCGCCUACAUGAAGUCGGAAUCGCUAGUAAUCGCGGAUCAGCACGCCGCGGUGAAUACGUUCCCGGGCCUUGUACACACCGCCCGUCACACCACGAGAGUUUGUAACACCCGAAGUCGGUGAGGUAACCUUUUGGAGCCAGCCGCCUAAGGUGGGACAGAUGAUUGGGGUGAAGUCGUAACAAGGUA
rnacentral:rRNA from 1 species